GACGAACGCUGGCGGCGUGCCUAAUGCAUGCAAGUAGAACGCACAGUUUAUACCGUAGCUUGCUACACCAUAAACUGUGAGUUGCGAACGGGUGAGUAACGCGUAGGUAACCUGCCUGGUAGCGGGGGAUAACUAUUGGAAACGAUAGCUAAUACCGCAUAAUAUUAAUUAUUGCAUGAUAAUUGAUUGAAAGAUGCAAUUGCAUCACUACCAGAUGGACCUGCGUUGUAUUAGCUAGUAGGUGAGGUAACGGCUCACCUAGGCGACGAUACAUAGCCGACCUGAGAGGGUGAGCGGCCACACUGGGACUGAGACACGGCCCAGACUCCUACGGGAGGCAGCAGUAGGGAAUCUUCGGCAAUGGACGAAAGUCUGACCGAGCAACGCCGCGUGAGUGAAGAAGGUUUUCGGAUCGUAAAGCUCUGUUGUAAGAGAAGAACGGGUGUGAGAGUGGAAAGUUCACACUGUGACGGUAUCUUACCAGAAAGGGACGGCUAACUACGUG
rnacentral:rRNA from 1 species